UCGCCGGACUACACCAUUUUGUAAACAUAGCCAUACUGAGAAAUACAGAGAGUUUUGUGGAGCUGAUUAUUAAACUGGUCUUAAUUAGCUUUGUAUCAACUCAUUUGCCAAUGGCUUGAAUGGAACGGAGGUUCAUUAAUAUAAAAUAGUUGCGCACUGUAGCUUUAAUCAAAUAUUUUUAAUGUAAAAUU